rnacentral:rRNA from 1 species
AUUGAACGCUGGCGGCAUGCCUUACACAUGCAAGUCGAACGGUAACAGGUCUUCGGAUGCUGACGAGUGGCGAACGGGUGAGUAAUACAUCGGAACGUGCCCGAUCGUGGGGGAUAACGGAGCGAAAGCUUUGCUAAUACCGCAUACGAUCUACGGAUGAAAGCAGGGGACCGCAAGGCCUUGCGCGGACGGAGCGGCCGAUGGCAGAUUAGGCAGUUGGUGGGAUAAAAGCUUACCAAGCCGACGAUCUGUAGCCGGUCUGAGAGGACGACCAGCCACACUGGGACUGAGACACGGCCCAGACUCCUACGGGAGGCAGCAGUGGGGAAUUUUGGACAAUGGGCGAAAGCCUGAUCCAGCCAUGCCGCGUGCAGGAUGAAGGCCUUCGGGUUGUAAACUGCUUUUGUACGGAACGAAAAGACUCUUUCUAAUAAAGAGGGUCCAUGACGGUACCGUAAGAAUAAGCACCGGCUAACUACGUG